rnacentral:rRNA from 1 species
GGAAGUAAUAACGCCAAAGGGGUACGUAAUAACCGGACUAUUCUUGCUUUUCUAUAAGUUAUUAGCAAGCAAAGGUAGGCCGUCUGCAUAUGCUACUGCAUGAAGAGGGGUCUGCGUACCAUUAGCUAGUAGGUGGGGUAAUGGCCUACCUAGGCGACGAUGGUUAGCGGGUCUGAGAGGAUGAUCCGCCACACUGGCACUGGAACACGGGCCAGACUCCUACGGGAGGCAGCAGUGAGGAAUAUUGCGCAAUGGGGGAAACCCUGACGCAGCGACGCCGCGUGAAGUGAGGAAGGCCUUCGGGUCGUAAAGCUCUGUCAAGAGGAAAGAAGUGUACAAUGGCUAAUACCUGUUGUAUUUGACGGUACCUCUAAAGGAAGCACCGGCUAACUCCGUGCCAGCCGCCGC